UACGUAGGGUGCGAGCGUUGUCCGGAAUUACUGGGCGUAAAGAGCUCGUAGGCGGUCUGUCGCGUCUGCUGUGAAAACCUAGGGCUUAACCCUGGGCCUGCAGUGGGUACGGGCAGACUAGAGUGCGGUAGGGGAGACUGGAAUUCCUGGUGUAGCGGUGAAAUGCGCAGAUAUCAGGAGGAACACCGGUGGCGAAGGCGGGUCUCUGGGCCGUAACUGACGCUGAGGAGCGAAAGCAUGGGGAGCGAACAGG
rnacentral:rRNA from 1 species